rnacentral:rRNA from 1 species
UACGGGGGGGGCAAGCGUUGUUCGGAAUUACUGGGCGUAAAGGGUGCGUAGGCGGUUCGCUAAGUUGGAUGUGAAAACUCUGGGCUUAACCCAGAGCCUGCAUCCAAUACUGACGAGCUAGAGUUCUGGAGGGGGUAGCGGAAUUCCUGGUGUAGCGGUGAAAUGCGUAGAUAUCAGGAGGAACACCGGUGGCGAAGGCGGCUACCUGGACAGAGUCUGACGCUGAGGCACGAAAGCUAGGGGAGCAAACAGG